AAUUGAAAGAACCUCAUACAUGCUCAUCUGUGAAUAAAUGUGGCAACAAGAUGGCCACACAGUUUUGGAUACGUGACAGGGUGAUUAGUUGGCUAAGAAAAGAAGGUGACCUGUCAUCUAUUGAACUAAAAAGGAGAUUAUUGUAGUUCCAUCAUCUUGAGCUUCUAUAUCAUAGAGUUUGACGAGGAAAGGAGCUUGCAAUGUCCAUGAUUCAUGGGAAUUGGACAGAUUCUUUUGACAGAAUGAAAGAUUUCAAGAAGAAGUUUUUCAGAAGAAAUCCAGGUAGUAUAGUAAAGUUGCAAUUAGAUGUGGCAGGUGAUAGGUAUUACUUCCACUGCUUCUUUGUUACUCUAGGAGCUUGCAGUAUGGGCUUCUUAUCUGGUUGUAGACCUCUUAUAAGCCUAGAUGGCUGCCACUUAAAGGGAAAGUUUCGAGGUGUGAUGAUGGCUGCUACAGCAUUUGAUGGAAAUAAUGGUUUAUUUUCGAUUGUCUUUGGUAUAACAGAAUCUGAAAAUGGCAAUAGCUGGACUUGAUUUUUAGAGGCACUUAAAGAAGUAAUAGGAACUCCUGAAGGUUUAGUAAUUAUAUUUGAUCGACAAAAGAGACUAGAAGAAAUAGUACAAUAUAUAUAUCCUCAAACAGAACAUAAAAAAUGCAUGAGGCACCUGUACAAAAACUUUCAAACAAAGUUUUCAAGAGAUUGGUUAAAAUUAAGAUAUGGAAAGCUGCAAGGGUAUUCACAAAAGUUUAGCAUGAUGAUGUCAUGGAUCAAAUUAAAAAGGCUAGUUUGGAGGUAUUUAAGUAUCUGAUUACUGAAAAUAUUGGUUUGUGGAGUAGAUCUCAAUUUGGCAUCACAGCUAAGUGCUUCUACAUAACGAACAACUUUUUGGAGUCAUUCCAUGCUUGAAUUUCUGAGGCUAGACAUAGACCUGUUCUUGAUCUAUUAGAUGUUGUGAGGCAAAAAAUUAUGGUGAAGAUGGAAGCUAGAAGGCGAAUGGCUGCUCGCUGAAAGGAAAAUUUAGUUUUUUUGGUAAUAAAAUAUAUUAGAGAUAUCAGUCUUAAGUUAGAUGAUUAUAAUAUUUACAGAACCAGCGAUUAUAAAGCAGAAGUAAUGGAGACUAAUGGAAGAUAUGAAGUAAUUCUAAAUGAACGAAGAUGCUUUUGUCGUGUGUGGGACAUGUUAGGCAUUCCUUAUGUUCAUGCAGCUGCCUUUAUUUGUAGUAUAAGAGGUGCAAACUUAGAAAAUUAUGUUUUUGAAUACUUCACCAUUGCAAAGUAUAAAGCUAUUUAUGCAUUAGAAAUUGGACCAUUAUCUGACAAGGCCCAAUGGAUAAAAGCUGAUAUUGGAUACAAAGUGUUGCUUCCUAAGCUUAAUCUAAGACCCCCUGGAAGACCAAAGAAGAAGAGAAUUAGAGGUACAGAUGAGAAUGCAUUGAAGAGAAUGCACAAAUGCAAGCGUUGUGGUGAACUUGGGUAUCAUGCAAAGACUUGUAAAAAUCCAGUAGUGGAGGAAUCUCAAGCUUCAGUAUCAUCAUCUUCUGCACUAAAAAAACCUAGGAGGCCUAAAAGAAAUAGCUCAAGAGGAAGAAUGUCAACAACGAGAGGUACACAUGCAUUAUUUGUAGCACCAAGAGAGAAAAAAAAUAAAGGAAGACCCCGCAAGCAAGCUACAACGAUGGAAAUUUCAGAUGGAGAAGUAAUGCUUACC